rnacentral:rRNA from 1 species
UCCUACGGGUGGCUGCAGUGGGGAAUCUUCCGCAAUGGACGAAAGUCUGACGGAGCAACGCCGCGUGUAUGACGAAGGCCUUCGGGUUGUAAAAUACUGUCUUUGGGGACGAAUGUUAGCUAUGAAAAUAUUGUAGCUAAAUGACGGUACCCGAGAAGGAAGCCCCGGCUAACUACGUGCCAGCAGCCGCGGUAAUACGUAGGGGGCAAGCGUUGUCCGGAAUCAUUGGGCGUAAAGGGCGCGUAGGCGGAUAGUUAAGUCUGAUGUGAAAUACCAAGGCUCAACCUUGGGGCUGCAUCGGAAACUGGUUAUCUUGAGGACAGGAGAGGAAAGUGGAAUUCCUAGUGUAGCGGUGAAAUGCGUAGAUAUUAGGAGGAACACCAGUGGCGAAGGCGACUUUCUGGACUGUAACUGACGCUGAGGCGCGAAAGCGUGGGGAGCAAACAGGAUUAGAUACCCCAGUAGUCC